rnacentral:rRNA from 1 species
GACGAACGCUGGCGGCGUGCUUAACACAUGCAAGUCGAGCGAGGCCCUCUCUUCGGGGGGGUGCCCUAGCGGCGAACGGGUGAGUAACACGUGGGCAACCUGCCCUCAGCUCUGGGAUAACUCCAAGAAAUUGGUGCUAAUACCGGAUGUGACCGCUGACCGCAUGGUCUGGUGGUGGAAAGAUUCAUCGGCUGGGGAUGGGCCCGCGGCCUAUCAGCUUGUUGGUGGGGUCACGGCCCACCAAGGCGACGACGGGUAGCCGGCCUGAGAGGGUGACCGGCCACAUUGGGACUGAGACACUGCCCAGACUCCUAGGGGGGCUGCAGUAACGAAUCUUCCGCAAUGCACGCAAGUGUGACGGAGCGACGCCGCGUGUGGGACGAAGCCC